rnacentral:tRNA from 1 species
AGAAAAGUGCCUGAUUAAAGGAUUAUUAUGAUAGAAUAAAUCAUGUACAUAUUGUACCUUUACUA